rnacentral:rRNA from 1 species
CAGCCAAGUCGUGAGGCGGAGCUAAUCCCUUUAAAGCCAUUCUCAGUUCGGAUUGUAGGCUGAAACUCGCCUACAUGAAGCUGGAGUUACUAGUAAUCGCAGAUCAGAAUGCUGCGGUGAAUGCGUUCCCGGGUCUUGUACACACCGCCCGUCACACCACGGAAGUUGGGGGCGCCCGAAGCCACUUAGCUAACCCUUUUGGGAAGCGAGUGUCGAAGGUGAAAUCAAUAACUGGGGUGAAGUCGUAACAAGGUAUC